GUGCAAUUGCUGGCGAUUUCCGGCUGUACAGCACACAAACCAAACAGCACUGAAGAAAAAGUAGAAAACAAGCAAAUAAGAAUGUUUGAAUGUUGUAAAAGCAGUACUGACUGUACCAACGAUCGCAGUAUAAAUUUAACUACCUUCAAGCUAAUAUAUUUCCACAAACGACACUAGGACGAGCUCAAGUCAAGCAUGGUUUGCCUGGAAUAUAUGGAAUCGCAGUAUCAUAUGACAUUGAUGUAACACUCCCAAUCUCAUCCUCUGUGUGUGUGGCCCUUUGAAUGUAAUUAAUGAGCCGCAAUAUGUAUUAAAUAGCAAUGAGAAGGAACGACUCGCCAGACCACUCCACGAUUCCGUAAUGGCCUGUCACUCAAUUGCAACUGAAACUGCAAUAGCAGCAUCAGACAAUAUUCUUUGUUGAGUCAAGAGGACACUGCAAGACAAUUUCUCGGCCACUUGUCAAAAUAAUUUGCGCCUCGCAUGGAUCCGGGUAGUCGGAUACCUGCCGUGCAAUUGUUGACUUAGUUGUUCUCCCACCAGAUGAUGACGAGAUGGGAAAUGUGUGAGAAUUUCUUAAGCAAACCGAAACUGAGGCUGCUCGAGAGG
rnacentral:lncRNA from 1 species